ACCUCUUCACUCUUAUUCUGGAAGCUCUAGGAGAGGAAACUGGGGUUGGCGACACCUGGUCCCACAUUUAAUAUGAAGUUCUGAAGUUGGAACCUGGUGGGUGGGCCUCUACCAGGUCCCGUCUCAGAUGAAGUUCUGCCAUUGGAACCUGGGGUUGGUGAACACCUGGGUCCCACGUCUCAGAUGAAGUUCUGGGAUUUGGGGCCUGGGUUGGUAGACACCUGAUCCCGUCUCAGAUGAAGUUCUGCCAUUUGGAACCUGGGGUUGGUGAACCUCUGGGUCCCACGUCUCAGAUGAAGUUCUGCCAUUGGAACCUGGGAGUUGGUGAACACGUGAGUCCCACGUCUCAGAUGAAGUUCUGCCAUUGGAACCUGGAGUUGGUGAACACCUGAGUCCCACGUCUCAGAUGGGGUUUAACCAUUUGGAACCUGGGGUUGGUAGACACCUGGUCCACAUUUUCAGAUGGAGGAUUCUGGGAUUGGAGACCUGGGGUGGUGAACCUCUGGGUCCCCACGUCUCAGGCCAGGAUUCUGGGAUUGGAACCUGGGAGUUGGUGAACGCUGCACGAAUCCACAUUUCAGAUGAAGUUCUGGGAUUGGAACCUGGGGUGGGUGAACACCUGAGUCCCACGUCUCAGAUGAAGUUCUGCCAUUGGAACCUGGGGUUGGUGAACACCUGGUCUUUUGUCUGCUAGAAACACAGGGAGACUAGAACCCAGCCUGUAGGAGAGAUACUGAAAUACGACGGGGACACCUGCCAUCCUGCCACAAUCAAGUCCAUCGUUCUGGCUUUCCCAAGGCAUAGCCCCUUGCUGUCCAAGUUUUGUGUUACUCAGCUGCUUCUCUGUUGGGGGGAGGUGGUGUCAUUUCUGUCCUUCACAAGCAGGGCUUUCCGGCUGCCGUGCUCCUCAGGCUCAUUUGGAACUCUCCCCUGCACUGCCAGCCUUUGUUGCUUGGUGGAGCUACCGUUUAUCACACUGUUUCCUGAGGAAAACGUCUUUCAAGUACCAAGUACAUCUCACAAAUAAACCUAGAGCAUGACUUAUGUGGUUUAUAGGUGGAAUUACACCGAUGAUCAGGAAGUUGCCUUAGAAACAAAAUGUUAAAAACAAUGAAAAAUAAAAUAGAAACACUAUGUUGCAUUUGGAGUUUGGUGAUUUGCAUAUUUAUGAAGUUCUGCAAUUUGAAAAAAUAUUUCUCUUCUUUCCUGGGUGUCUAUUUGGAAUACAUUGUCAUGUGUCAAAAUCAAGGCAAUCAGAACCAAGGUUGCCAGCCUGCGACAGCCGUUCUCGAUGGCCUCGGUUACAAUGCUGAGAUGACUUAUUAUUCAUAGAUUCAUCUAAAGAUAAGAUUGGAAAUAAUUUAUCUAGUAUCCGUGUGAAUUGCAUUUAUUUUAAAGGUUGUUGCAUAGGAAGCUUAAACAUACCCAGCAAAUUAUGCCGGGGGAAGUUUUCCUCAAAUCUUUCUAAACCCAGAAUGCUUGUCUGUUUAAAUCUCUUGGACGGGUUUUUCUUUCAAUCACUCCAGUAUUUGGAGA
rnacentral:lncRNA from 1 species